UGGGGAAUAUUGCACAAUGGGCGCAAGCCUGAUGCAGCGACGCCGCGUGGGGGAUGAAGGCCUUCGGGUUGUAAACCUCUUUCGCUAGGGACGAAGCUUUGGUGACGGUACCUAGAGAAGAAGCACCGGCUAACUACGUGCCAGCAGCCGCGGUAAUACGUAGGGUGCGAGCGUUGUCCGGAAUUACUGGGCGUAAAGAGCUCGUAGGUGGUUUGUCGCGUCGUCUGUGAAAUUCCGGGGCUUAACUCCGGGCGUGCAGGCGAUACGGGCAUAACUUGAGUGCUGUAGGGGAGACUGGAAUUCCUGGUGUAGCGGUGAAAUGCGCAGAUAUCAGGAGGAACACCGAUGGCGAAGGCAGGUCUCUGGGCAGUAACUGACGCUGAGGAGCGAAAGCAUGGGUAGCGAACA
rnacentral:rRNA from 1 species